rnacentral:rRNA from 1 species
AUUGAACGCUGGCGGCAGGCCUAACACGUGCAAGUCGAGCGGAUGAAGGGAGCUUGCUCCUGGAUUCAGCGGCGGGCGGGUGAGUAAUGCCUAGGAAUCUGCCUGGUAGUGGGGGAUAACGUCCGGAAACGGGCGCUAAUACCGCAUACGUCCUGAGGGAGAAAGUGGGGGAUCUUCGGACCUCACGCUAUCAGAUGAGCCUAGGUCGGAUUAGCUAGUUGGUGGGGUAAAGGCCUACCAAGGCGACGAUCCGUAACUGGUCUGAGAGGAUGAUCAGUCACACUGGAACUGAGACACGGUCCAGACUCCUACGGGAGGCAGCAGUGGGGAAUAUUGGACAAUGGGCGAAAGCCUGAUCCAGCCAUGCCGCGUGUGUGAAGAAGGUCUUCGGAUUGUAAAGCACUUUAAGUUGGGAGGAAGGGCAGUAAGUUAAUACCUUGCUGUUUUGACGUUACCAACAGAAUAAGCACCGGCUAACUUCGUG